CAGUGCAUCUGGACUUGGUUCAAGUGGCACCAGCCAAAUCCCUGCCUUACUGACCUCUCCCCUGGAGGAGCAGGAGCAGCGCUCAAGGCCGCCCUGGGAGGGCUGAGAGGCAGGCUCUGGACUGGGGACACAGGGAUAGCUGAGCCCCAGCUGGGGGUGGAAGCUGAGCCAGGGACAGUCACAGAGGAACAAGAUCAAGAUGCGCUUUAACUGAGAAGCCCCCAAGGCAGAGGCUGAGAAUCAGAAGACAUUUCAGCAGACAUCUACAAAUCUGAAGGACAAAACAUGGUUCAAGCAUCUGGGCACAGGCGCAAAGAUCCAGGAAAUAUGAUGCGAGGAAGAUGAGAGGAAGAUGGCGCGAGAGUUCCUGGCCGAGUUCAUGAGCACAUAUGUCAUGAUGGUGAGUGGGCGGGCAGCACGAAGUGGGUGGGCUCUGCCAGGGCCUUCCAUGACCCCCUCCCCAUUCUGACCCCAUGGGUCACAUUGUCCAUUCCUUGCCUCUGAGCUGGGAGCCUGGGGAAGCAGCGAGGAAAGUAAGGGG
rnacentral:lncRNA from 1 species